rnacentral:misc_RNA from 1 species
UUAACAUUUAUGAACUAAACAAGCUCAGACAGAUACUAUAUGAUGACGGUGUUUAUGAUUACCUCCCAUGGGUCCGCCCCGAAGGGGGGUCGCAAGCACAAGGCAUGCUGCCCAUGGAAGCAACGAGAACAAGUACACUGCAGGGGUUUAAGAAUGCGAAAUUCUAUGAUUUGGUAAUGAUCCUUCCGCAGGUUCACCUACGGAAA